rnacentral:rRNA from 1 species
CAGGCCUAACACAUGCAAGUCGAACGCUGAAGCUCAGCUUGCUGGGUGGAUGAGUGGCGAACGGGUGAGUAACACGUGAGUAACCUGCCCCCUUCUUUGGGAUAACGCCCGGAAACGGGUGCUAAUACUGGAUAUUCACUGGCCUUCGCAUGGGGGUUGGUGGAAAGGUUUGUUCUGGUGGGGGAUGGGCUCGCGGCCUAUCAGCUUGUUGGUGGGGUGAUGGCCUACCAAGGCUUUGACGGGUAGCCGGCCUGAGAGGGUGACCGGUCACAUUGGGACUGAGAUACGGCCCAGACUCCUACGGGAGGCAGCAGUGGGGAAUAUUGCACAAUGGGCGAAAGCCUGAUGCAGCGACGCCGCGUGAGGGAUGGAGGCCUUCGGGUUGUAAACCUCUUUCGCUCAUGGUCAAGCCGCAACAGUGGUUGUGGUGAGGGUAGUGGGUAAAGAAGCGCCGGCUAACUACGUGCCAGCAGCCGCGGUAAUACGUAGGGCGCGAGCGUUGUCCGGAAUUAUUGGGCGUAAAGGGCUUGUAGGCGGUUGGUCGCGUCUGCCGUGAAAUCCUCUGGCUUAACUGGGGGCGUGCGGUGGGUACGGGCUGACUUGAGUGCGGUAGGGGAGACUGGAACUCCUGGUGUAGCGGUGGAAUGCGCAGAUAUCAGGAAGAACACCGGUGGCGAAGGCGGGUCUCUGGGCCGUUACUGACGCUGAGGAGCGAAAGCGUGGGGAGCGAACAGGAUUAGAUACCCUGGU